CUUUUCCUUUUCUCUCGCUCAGUCGCUCUCCUCACUCUCCUCGCUCUGAACUGUACGGAGCUUUCAAAUUUCAAUUGGUUUUUGGAGAAAGUUCAGAAGCUACAAGCUACAACUUGAAGGCACCAAUUAAACAACAUAGUUUGCAAUUCAGCGAUUACAUUUCAAUUGAUGGGAAGUUGUAAACCUAAUCGAGAAGAGAAGGAAGAAGAUGUAUUAGGGUAAUUGGGUUUUAAUCUGAGAAAGAAGAAGAUGAAUUUGGAUAUCGUAGAAUGGUGCUCUAAUUGAUUUCCCAGGUUUCAAACUCUGUGCAUGUAUUUUAGUCGCCUGCUUAAAGGUUUGAAGUUAGGUUCCGGAGCCUUUGGGUCCGAUAGAGGAAUUUGAGUUGCAAUCAUCUUCAGGUUAGACCUUUUUUUAUUUCCAAGAAAAUAAGUUCUUUGAAAUUUUUAGCUGGUUUUGAAAUUGGCAUUCAACAAUUUAUGUUCUUAAAUUGUUUUUUUGUUGCUGAUAUUGCUUGCUUCUAUGUUUUGGGGUUUACUCUUGAGUUUGUGAAGGGUAAAGAUCGACUCUUUUCUCAUGUAAAUUGAGGGGACUGAUGGGAAUUUAAAGAAAUGGGGUUUGUGUUGUUAGUUAAAACGGGAUGUGUGUCCCGCUAAACAAAGUUUGGGUCUUUUCUCAUGUAAAUUGAGAGGCUUGAAGGGAAUUUGAAGAGAUAGAACAGUAGAUGACAGAGCUUCAAACUCUUAUUUGGUUGGAGGGCAUGCAGUAUCGACAGAAAGAGUCCUCUGCAAAUUUCAACUACUCCACAACAUUAUGGGCUCUAAUUAUGGAUUUGCAGUGAUCAUGAUUUGACUGUGUGUGUAAAAACUCAAGAGGAAGUUGAUGAAGACAGGAUCAGUAAAAUGCCAGAUGAUGUUCUCUGCUUUCAGGUCAAGAUAGGUUGCUAUUCUGUACAUAUUCUUAAACACCUUUGUGGAGAGGAGACCUCACGUAUUCCAAAUGAUGAAGAACCCAGUUGUGAUGGCGUAAGCAGACUUGCAAACCAUACAUUCAGCCAUUUGGGCAAGCAUUACCCCUGGAGCUGUAUUGAUCGUUAUGGCUGGAAGAUUCAAGGCCAAUAGGGUUGUCUUUUUGAAGCAUCAUUCUUCUUGCUUGCUUUUGGUCACUGUUAUAUUUUUGUUUUUCUUAACUAUGUGAGAAAUUGUUUUUACUUUUGGUUACCAAGUAGUGCCUUUUGAUGAAUGUUACAUGUAGUUUGCUAUGUUUGAGUGUCAUUGUGAAUGUAUAAUGUAUGUAAUGUUUGCAAAUGUAGUAUUAUUAAGCUGACCACCCGCAGCAUUGCGCGGGCCGCAAUACCUAGUCUAGAAUUAAGUUGGAAAAUUAUCGCGUUGUACUCUGUAUAGGAUUCAUCAGAGAGCACGAUUCCUCCAUAGUCAUCUCCAUUUCAAUAGCAGCUUAACAGAAACUCCAGUACGUGUUUGGAGACAGAGAGAAUUGAAAGAACCCAGAUCUGAUUUUCUUCGAAGCGAAUGAGAGCAUGACUCCUCCGUAGCAGAUCGAUUGAUUUUCUUCCUCUCUUUCUCUCUCUUAUAUCUUUAACUCCAGAUCUGAUCUUGGAUUUAAGAAGCAGAUCCAUUCCAGGUAUUUCACUUCCAAUACAAUAAAAAGUGGGCUUCUGCAUCAUGGGUUCCAAACUCCAAGCCAAACUAAAGUUCCUCUCAAAAAAGCUGCUCAUAAAAUGAGUGAAUAAUUUUGGUUUAAGUUAUAAAUUGAUUUGUAAUCUGAUCGUCGAUGCUUAUUGGUUUAAAUGGCUAACAUUCCAACAGAUAGCAAAUUCUUCGAUCUUGAUCUCAGGUGUCAUUUGGCAUAAGGGGGUUCUGGUCUUCUGGAGAUGCAGCAGACGAAGGGGAAGAUGAAGAGAACGGGAAGAUGAAGAAAUGAAGAAUUAAUCUGGAGUGUGUUUCUUUGUUCAAUCAUGUAUAUUUUGUUUGUAUAUUUAUUGACAGUCAUCCCCUUCCCCCUCCUAAGCUCCUUGUAUUGAAUAUGAUGAGAAUUUUAAUAAUAAAUAUUAUUGGUUGUUCUUCAAAUA